GAAGGCCGAGAAGCUUCAGAAUCGAUCCACACACGACAUACUUGAAUUGGCUUGUUCCCAUGAGGUUAGGCCUUAUUACUGGAUUCCGCUUGGCUAGUGACGAUGAGUGCUUUCUGGCCUGAUUUGUGGCUCCCUUCGCAGUUUGCAUUGCGGAAGUCGUGUUCAGUCGGUACACCUCUCGGUUUUCGAUCUUGCGAUCGUUUCUGCUUAGCAACUGCAUGGCGGUCAAACAUUUCACGGUGAGAUUUUCGACGUGUGAUUCGAAUCAGAACCGAAUUCCUGGAUGUGGCCCUGAUUCGCGCUGUUCAAUCUGCUGGACCUGACAUCAAUUCUGGUGUAAUAUGCAUUACUUUGUUGAGUUGGCAGCUCAGGGAGGGGUCCUGUAGUGCAUGAUGAUACAUUUUGAGCAAUUGAGAUUUUUGAUGCAAAGAGAAAGGGUGGUGCAAUACUGGAUGACGCACGAAUCUUCAAACGCGACAAGCAGAAGUUCAAAAAUUUCAGGUUUGAAAGCAGGUAACCGACUCCAAAAUUGCUUGGCUAAGUACUGAGUCAUAUCAACCCAGUUUACUAUUUAAUAAGCAUUUCUAUUUCAUUUUAAAAUUGUUUGUUUGUUUUAUCUUUUAUUGCCAUGCAAAAUGUCGACUGUAUUGCAAUGGAAAUUGUUGGUUUUAAUUGAAUGCCUUUGUGAUCAUUACACGUCUAUGUUGUGUAGCAAUAAAAUUUUAAUUCUUUUUGAUUGCUUGUAUUUAUUAUUAAUAUUAAUUUUAUUAUCUAUUAAGUUAUAUUUUUAAUAUUGAGUAAUAAUUUAAAAAAGUAAAUUCUUACCUUUUUAAAAAUAUUUUGUAAUAUUAAUAUAUUAUUUUUAAAUUUUAAAACCUAUUUUUGAUACAUGUUUUUUAUGAUUAUAAUUUUUGAUUUUUAAGUUUCCAUCAUUGUAUAGAAUAUAUGCAAUAGUAUGAUUACAUUUAUUAUAUCUUCAAUAUUCUUCAAUUUUUUGUCAUCUUUGAAA